rnacentral:rRNA from 1 species
GGUGCUUGCACCGGGGAUUAGUGGCGAACGGGUGAGUAACACGUGAGUAACCUGCCCUUAACUCUGGGAUAAGCCUGGGAAACUGGGUCUAAUACCGGAUAUGACUCCUCAUCGCAUGGUGGGGGGUGGAAAGCUUUAUUGUGGUUUUGGAUGGACUCGCGGCCUACCAGCUUGUUGGUGAGGUAAUGGCUCACCAAGGCGACGACGGGUAGCCGGCCUGAGAGGGUGACCGGCCACACUGGGACUGAGACACGGCCCAGACUCCUACGGGAGGCAGCAGUGGGGAAUAUUGCACAAUGGGCGCAAGCCUGAUGCAGCGACGCCGCGUGAGGGAUGACGGCCUUCGGGUUGUAAGCCUCUUUCAGUAGGGAAGAAGCGAAAGUGACGGUACCUGCAGAAGAAGCGCCGGCUAACUACGUGCCAGCAGCCGCGGUAAUACGUAGGGCGCAAGCGUUAUCCGGAAUUAUUGGGCGUAAAGAGCUCGUAGGCGGUUUGUCGCGUCUGCCGUGAAAGUCCGGGGCUCAACUCCGGAUCUGCGGUGGGUACGGGCAGACUAGAGUGAUGUAGGGGAGACUGGAAUUCCUGGUGUAGCGGUGAAAUGCGCAGAUAUCAGGAGGAACACCGAUGGCGAAGGCAGGUCUCUGGGCAUUAACUGACGCUGAGGAGCGAAAGCAUGGUGAGCGAACAGGAUUAGAUACCCUGGUAGUCCAUGCCGUAAACGUUGGGCACUAGGUGUGGGGGACAUUCCACGUUUUCCGCGCCGUAGCUAACGCAUUAAGUGCCCCGCCUGGGGAGUACGGCCGCAAGGCUAAAACUCAAAGGAAUUGACGGGGGUCCGCACAAGCGGCGGAGCAUGCGGAUUAAUUCGAUGCAACGCGAAGAACCUUACCAAGGCUUGACAUGGACCGGACCGGGCUGGAAACAGUCCUUCCCCUUUGGGGCCGGUUCACAGGUGGUGCAUGGUUGACGUCAGCUCGUGUCGUGAGAUGUUGGGUUAAGUCCCGCAACGAGCGCAACCCUCGUUCCAUGUUGCCAGCGCGUAAUGGCGGGGACUCAUGGGAGACUGCCGGGGUCAACUCGGAGGAAGGUGGGGACGACGUCAAAUCAUCAUGCCCCUUAUGUCUUGGGCUUCACGCAUGCUACAAUGGCCGGUACAAAGGGUUGCGAUACUGUGAGGUGGAGCUAAUCCCAAAAAGCCGGUCUCAGUUCGGAUUGGGGUCUGCAACUCGACCCCAUGAAGUCGGAGUCGCUAGUAAUCGCAGAUCAGCAACGCUGCGGUGAAUACGUUCCC